rnacentral:lncRNA from 1 species
UUGUCCGCAAUAUCAACCCCAUGGUCGAACCCAUCAUGCACCACUUCAGAAGAGGGAGGUGUCAUUACCCUGGUCCGAUAUCAAAUUGACUUUAUAGGUCCCGUAACAAGAUCUUCAAGAGGUAGCAAAUACAUGUUAACCAUUACAUGUAUGUACACAAAGUGGAUAGAGUGUUUGCCUUGUAAAGAGAACACGAGUACCGUGUGCGCCACUUUGUUGAUUAACCAUGUCUUUUCCAGGUUCAGUCUGCCUCAAAGAAUUGAGUCAGAUAGAGGUGGUCACUUUACCAGCGAAGUAAUGGCUAAG